rnacentral:rRNA from 1 species
GGUAACGGCUCACCAUGGCAAUGAUACGUAGCCGACCUGAGAGGGUAAUCGGCCACAUUGGGACUGAGACACGGCCCAAACUCCUACGGGAGGCAGCAGUAGGGAAUCUUCCACAAUGGACGAAAGUCUGAUGGAGCAACGCCGCGUGAGUGAAGAAGGGUUUCGGCUCGUAAAACUCUGUUGUUAAAGAAGAACAUAUCUGAGAGUAACUGUUCAGGUAUUGACGGUAUUUAACCAGAAAGCCACGGCUAACUACGUGCCAGCAGCCGCGGUAAUACGUAGGUGGCAAGCGUUGUCCGGAUUUAUUGGGCGUAAAGCGAGCGCAGGCGGUUUUUUAAGUCUGAUGUGAAAGCCUUCGGCUCAACCGAAGAAGUGCAUCGGAAACUGGGAAACUUGAGUGCAGAAGAGGACAGUGGAACUCCAUGUGUAGCGGUGAAAUGCGUAGAUAUAUGGAAGAACACCAGUGGCGAAGGCGGCUGUCUGGUCUGUAACUGACGCUGAGGCUCGAAAGUAUGGGUAGCAAACAGGAUUAGAUACCCUGGUAGUCCAUACCGUAAACGAUGAAUGCUAAGUGUUGGAGGGUUUCCGCCCUUCAGUGCUGCAGCUAACGCAUUAAGCAUUCCGCCUGGGGAGUACGGCCGCAAGGCUGAAACUCAAAGGAAUUGACGGGGGCCCGCACAAGCGGUGGAGCAUGUGGUUUAAUUCGAAGCUACGCGAAGAACCUUACCAGGUCUUGACAUACUAUGCAAAUCUAAGAGAUUAGACGUUCCCUUCGGGGACAUGGAUACAGGUGGUGCAUGGUUGUCGUCAGCUCGUGUCGUGAGAUGUUGGGUUAAGUCCCGCAACGAGCGCAACCCUUAUUAUCAGUUGCCAGCAUUAAGUUGGGCACUCUGGUGAGACUGCCGGUGACAAACCGGAGGAAGGUGGGGAUGACGUCAAAUCAUCAUGCCCCUUAUGACCUGGGCUACACACGUGCUACAAUGGAUGGUACAACGAGUUGCGAACUCGCGAGAGUAAGCUAAUCUCUUAAAGCCAUUCUCAGUUCGGAUUGUAGGCUGCAACUCGCCUACAUGAAGUCGGAAUCGCUAGUAAUCGCGGAUCAGCAUGCCGCGGUGAAUACGUUCCCGGGCCUUGUACACACCGCCCGUCACACCAUGAGAGUUUGUAACACCCAAAGUCGGUGGGGUAACCUUUUAGGAACCAGCCGCCUAAGGUGGGACAGAUGAUUAGGGUGAAGUCGUAACAAGGUAGCCGUAGGAGA